UAUGAGUUUGCUAACUUGCAUACACUUUUUUUAGUUGGUACAUUUUAGCAAUAUGUUCCGCAUUUUAGUAGACAAAUAUACCCUCAUAUAUUAUGGAUUCUAAGUUUUAAAGUCAAAGGUAUUUUGAAUAAUUUUCAUUCUCAAAACAAAAAAAAAAUAAAAAAAUAAAAACAAGAGACCCUCAAACCCUUACUCACCUUCCUAAUUUCUCUCAACCCUAUUUUUUUUUUCAUCUCUCUCAGUGUAACAUUUUCUCUGUCAUC
rnacentral:lncRNA from 1 species